UACGGGGGGAGCAAGCGUUGUUCGGAUUUACUGGGCGUAAAGGGCGCGUAGGCGGCCACCGCAAGUCGACUGUGAAAUCUCCGGGCUUAACCCGGAAAGGUCAGCCGAUACUGCGGGGCUAGAGUGCAGAAGGGGCAACUGGAAUUCUCGGUGUAGCGGUGAAAUGCGUAGAUAUCGAGAGGAACACCUGCGGCGAAGGCGGGCUGCUGGGCUGACACUGACGCUGAAGCGCGAAAGCCAGGGGAGCGAACGGG
rnacentral:rRNA from 1 species